rnacentral:rRNA from 1 species
CGCCUGUUUAUUAAAAACAUGGUUUUUAAAAAAUUAAUAAAAAAUUUGACCUGCCCAUUGAAUUUAUUGAAAGGCUGCAGUAUUUUGACUGUACAAAGGUAGCAUAAUCAUUAGAUUUUUAAUUGAAAUCUAGAAUGAAUGGUUGGAUGAAAAAUUAACUUUUUUAUUUUUAAUUUAUUUAAUUUUUUUUAUUAGUAAAAAUACUAAUAUUUUAUUUUAAGACGAGAAGACCCUAUAGAAUUUUAUAUUAUAUUUUAUUAAAAAUAUUUAAUAUUAUUAUUUUAAAAAAAUAAAAAUAUUUAAUUGGGGUGAUUUAAAAAUAUUUAACUUUUUAUUAAUUUUUUUCAUUUAUUAAUGUUUUUUUGAUCUUUUAGUAUAGAUUAAUAAAUUAAAUUACCUUAGGGAUAACAGCAUAAUAAUUUUAAAGAGUUCUUAUUUUUAAAAUAAUUUAUGACCUCGAUGUUGGAUUAAAAUAAUUAUUAUAUGAAGAAAUAUAUUU